GCCUUCUUAGCUCAGUGGUAGAGCAUUGCACUUGUAUGGAAUCCGUUGAAAGGAAAUGCAAAGGUCAGUCGUUCAAUCCGGCUAGGAGGCA